UAUCUCCUACGGGGCGCAGCAGUGGGGAAUUUUGGACAAUGGGCGCAAGCCUGAUCCAGCUAUUCCGCGUGUGGGAUGAAGGCCCUCGGGUUGUAAACCACUUUUGUAGAGAACGAAAAGACACCUUCGAAUAAGGGGUGUUGCUGACGGUACUCUAAGAAUAAGCACCGGCUAACUACGUGCCAGCAGCCGCGGUAAUACGUAGGGUGCGAGCGUUAAUCGGAAUUACUGGGCGUAAAGGGUGCGCAGGCGGUUGAGUAAGACAGAUGGGAAAUCCCCGAGCUUAACUCGGGAAUGGCAUAUGG
rnacentral:rRNA from 1 species